rnacentral:lncRNA from 1 species
GUGGCGAGUGGGUGCACAAGCACUUUGCAGUGAGGCCUGCCCUGCUCACAGCCUGGUGCCGGCGUGGGGCCUGAAGUGGGAAAGAGCAUGAGGGUUUUUCCACAUACGCACUGUCCUCUCUGAGUGGCGGCAAGGUGGAAAGAAAAGCCCAGAGCUGUGCUCCCUCGGGCAGCAGGUCCUCCGGACGGCACUCGGGUGCCACUGCUGCAGUGAUGAGGUGGGGGCAGCAUGGCCCCAGUGGCCUGGGCAGGGAGGCUGGCGUCAGCGGGGGAAUCUGUUGACCUCAGGAGGUGCCAGGGCUGGAGCGGCACUGGGGAGUGCCAUGUGCUGUGUGUGCUGAGCCACGUGGACUCGUGAGGCUCUGGCCUUGGAGCCUGGGUGGCCGACACCGACCCUGGUGAGUCUGAGAGUCCAUCUUGCUCGGACGGUCUGUGAUCCGCUACCUUACUCGUCUGUGGCUGCGCCCCCUCCACACCUAUCCUGAAGUCAAAGCUCCACCAGGCGCUGCCUUCUCCAGGAAGCCAGGUCAUCGGAGCCAGCAACAUCUUCCUUGUCCAAGGCCAGGUGCUGACAUGUGACCCUCACUGUGGGAUCUAGAGCCCCCCCUCUCGUUUUGUGGAUCAUGGAAGAGGUCCCAGGAGCACAGAGCCACACCAUCCAUUCCAUGGGAGUGGGAACUAGAGCUGACAGCUUUCAUCAGCCAAGCCUGCAACACACCCACAAAUCAUAGUCACACACUGCACACCUGAGGCUUUGGCAAAAACACCGCAUCCAGCACAUCGGUUGUGACCAGAGACAGGGCCACAUUGAGCCUGCAGGAGUCAUGUCCAUUUUCCAGAAUCUAUCCCAUCUAUUCACCUUCCACAAGGACCAGACCAGUGAAUGAACACACAGACACACACACACACACGCACACGCACAAGAGAGAGAGAUGAAAGCAAUUGGCUCCCAUGAUCUGUCCCGUCUGCAAGCUGAGACCCGGGAGAGCCGGUGGAGUAAAUCGCAGUCCGAGGGCAGGAGAUGAGAUAAGACAUCCCAGCUCAAGCAGUGACGCAAGAAAAAGAGGGCAGAUUCUUCUUCCCCUGCCUUUCUGUUCUAUUCAGGUUCACACUGGAUGGGAGGAGGCCCCCACGCUGGGGAGGGCAUCUGCCUUCCUGAGUCCACCAAUCCCAAUACUCAUCUCACCCAGAAUCAACCUCGCAGACAUGCCUGGAUCAAGGUUUAAUCUGGGCACCCUGUGGCCCAGUUAAGUGAACACAUAGAAAUAAUUCGUCACACCAGAGAUCUUGAUGGUGCAUACAAACAUCCACUGUCCUCGCCGAGAUGCGAUUGUGUUUCUGAUUUAUUAUCUUGACCGAGGAUGCUUUCAGUGACCUACACUUGACCUCCUCACUUCACUUAUGGUAGCUUUCACCUCACAGGCCAAGGACGUAUUUAUGGGGAUUACUGUAACUGCCAAAUAUCUCAAUCCCAAUGGAAUAUUCAGAGACUGUAAAAAUGACCACUGGAUGGGGUCAUGAACCCUGCCUGAGGGCCCAUUCUAAGUUUGGCAGGGACACCAUUCACUUCUUGACCCAUGAGGCUCCUCUCUAACAGAAGACGAUGAUAACGUUUCAGGUCUUGUUUGUUUGUUUUGCGAGACAAGGUCUUGCUAUGUUGCCCAGGCUGGAGUGCGGUGGCAUGAUCAUGGCUCACUGCAGCCUCAAACCCCUGGGCUCAAAUGAUCCUCCUGCCUCACCUGGGACCCCAGGUGUGCACCACCAUGCCUGGCUAAUUUCUCUUAAUUUUUCUUUGUUUGUCUCUCUACAAAAGGGUGUCUCUCUACAAAAAAAGAAAAAUUAAGAGAAAUUAGCCAGGCGUGGUGAUGCACAGGCUGGUCUUCAUCUCCUGGGUGCAAGCGAUUCCUCCUUGGCCUCCCAAAGUGCUGUGAUAACAGGCAUGAACCAGUGUGCCCAGCCACCCUCCAGGUCUUUAGAUGCCAGCGUCAACUCAGAGCCUGUGUCCAUCGGUCCUACAAUGUGAGGGGUCUCUGUGCCAGAGUGCUCAGCCCUGUGAGUAAAUGCCACGUUCCUUUGCGAGAACAUUCCAGCAAAUGCUGGCAGUGGUGUUGCUGGGCCUUCCCUCUGCAGACCUUGGCUGCGUCUUCAAGCAACAGGCUCUGGGUCAGAAAAUAAACUCAGAUACGGACAUGGGGCAAGACAGCACGGCUUCUUAUCGGAGCGAUCACUUUCAGCCUCUUCCCCAUUCAUUCAUAGUCUCUGUUCAUUAAAUAAACAGCUUUAUUGAGGUAUUAUUGACAUACAAUAAACUGCACAUAUCUAAAAUGUACAGUUUGAUACAUUUUAAAACGCGAAACUUGUGUCCACUCAUGUCCUCAGAAACGGUCACCAUGAUGGGGACAGUGGGCACGUCCCCUCCCUGACGGUGUCCUCCUGCCCCUUUGUAACCCUUCCUGUCACUCUUCCCUUUCCCCAGCCCCCAUGAGCCACUGCUGACCUGCUUUCUACCGCAUUUCUGAGUUUCACUGUAUAUAUGGAAAUAUACAGUGAGUCUUCUUUUUCCUCUGGCUUCCUUCAUUCAGAAAAUUCUCUUGAGCUUCACCCUUGUUUGUUGUUCUGUAUGAG